GUGCACCCUGUAGCCUAGUGGCUAAGGUACAUGACUAGGACCCUUGAGAUUGCCUGUUCAAACCCCAGUCCAGGCACA